AGUGAACGCUGGCGGUAGGCCUAACACAUGCAAGUCGAACGGCAGCACAGUAAGAGCUUGCUCUUACGGGUGGCGAGUGGCGGACGGGUGAGGAAUAAAUCGGAAUCUACUUUUUCGUGGGGGAUAACGUAGGGAAACUUACGCUAAUACCGCAUACGACCUACGGGUGAAAGCAGGGGAUCUUCGGACCUUGCGCGAUUGAAUGAGCCGAUGUCGGAUUAGCUAGUUGGCGGGGUAAAGGCCCACCAAGGCGACGAUCCGUAGCUGGUCUGAGAGGAUGAUCAGCCACACUGGAACUGAGACACGGACCAGACUCCUACGGGAGGCAGCAGUGGGGAAUAUUGGACAAUGGGCGCAAGCCUGAUCCAACCAUACCGCGUGGGUGAAGAAGGCCUUCGGGUUGUAAAGCCCUUUUGUUGGGAAAGAAAAGCAGCAGGUUAAUACCCCGCUGUUCUGACGGUACCCAAAGAAUAAGCACCGGCUAACUUCGUG
rnacentral:rRNA from 1 species